rnacentral:rRNA from 1 species
AUUGAACGCUGGCGGCAUGCCUUACACAUGCAAGUCGAACGGCAGCAUGAUCUAGCUUGCUAGAUUGAUGGCGAGUGGCGAACGGGUGAGUAAUACAUCGGAACGUGCCCUGUAGUGGGGGAUAACUAGUCGAAAGAUUAGCUAAUACCGCAUACGACCUGAGGGUGAAAGUGGGGGACCGCAAGGCCUCAUGCUAUAGGAGCGGCCGAUGUCGGAUUAGCUAGUUGGUGUGGUAAAGGCUCACCAGGGCGACGAUCAGUAGCUGGUCUGAGAGGACGAUCAGCCACACUGGGACUGAGACACGGCCCAGACUCCUACGGGAGGCAGCAGUGGGGAAUUUUGGACAAUGGGGGCAACCCUGAUCCAGCAAUGCCGCGUGUGUGAAGAAGGCCUUCGGGUUGUAAAGCACUUUUGUCCGGAAAGAAAUCGCACUUACUAAUAUUAGGUGUGGAUGACGGUACCGGAAGAAUAAGGACCGGCUAACUACGUGCCAGCCGCCGCGGUAAUAC